UGCCUCAGUAACGGCGAGUGAAGCGGCAAAAGCUCAGAUUUGAAAUCUGGCGUCAUAUUGGCGUCCGAGUUGUAAUCUGUAGAGGAGUAUUCGAGUGUGGCGCUGGCUUAAGUUCCUUGGAACAGGACGUCAUAGAGGGUGAGAACCCCGUUAACGGCCUUUGUCUUAUGCUCAUGUGAAUCUCCUUCAACGAGUCGAGUUGUUUGGGAAUGCAGCUCUAAAUGGGUGGUAAAUUCCAUCUAAAGCUAAAUACUGGCAAGAGACCGAUAGCGCACAAGUAGAGUGAUCGAAAGAUGAAAAGAACUCUGAACAGAGAGUUAAAUAGUACGUGAAAUUGUUGAAAGGGAAGCACUUGCUACCAGACACGCCUGUAGUUGAUCAACCUUCAUUCUUGAUGGUGCACUCAGCUAUAGGUGGGUCAGCAUCAGUUACGGCGGUGGGAUAAAGGCCUGGGGAAUGUGGCUUCUCUCGGGAAGUGUUAUAGCCCUGGGUGUAAUACCGCCUGCUGUGACUGAGGACCGCGCUUCGGCGAGGAUGCUGGCAUAAUGGUCGUAAGUGACCCGUCUUGAAACACGGACCAAGGAGUCUAACAUCUAUGCGAGUGUUUGGGUGUCAAAACCCUUACGCGGAAUGAAAGUGAAUGUAGGUGGGAACCGCAAGGUGCACCAUCGACCGAUCCUGAUGUCUUCGGAUGGAUUUGAGUAGGAGCAUAGCUGUUGGGACCCGAAAGAUGGUGAACUAUGCCUGAAUAGGGUGAAGCCAGAGGAAACUCUGGUGGAGGCUCGCAGCGGUUCUG
rnacentral:rRNA from 1 species